ensembl:misc_RNA Metazoa_SRP Metazoan signal recognition particle RNA
GCCUGGCACGGUGGCUCAUGCCUGUAAUCCCAGCACUUUGGGAGGCUGAGGUGGGAGGACUGCUUGAGCCCAGGAGUUCAAGACCAGCCUGGGCAAUGGCGAAACGCCGUCUCUACUCAAAAUACAAAAAUUAGCUGGGCAUAGUGGUGUGCACCUAUAAUCCCAGCUACUCAGGAGGCUGAGGCAGGAGAAGCUCUUGAACCUGGGAGGCGGAGGUUGCAGUGAGCUGAGAUCACGCCAUUGCACUCCAGCCUGGGCAACAGAGCAAGACUCUGUCUCA